rnacentral:sRNA from 1 species
GUUUUAUUUUGUCCUUUUUUCAUUUUCAUAUAUAUUUGGAAUUAAACAAUUCUUAUUGAAGUUAGAGCUGAAGACUUUUUGGACUAGGGAUUUCGAUUCUACACCACAGUGAGUUGCAUGCUUGUUGUCCUACCAUUCAAGGUGUGUAACAGGUUUAACAAAAUUACAAAUUUUAUCUACGAAUAAUCGGCUAAAUACAAUAUUUGGUACAUUAAUUCAGCAACAAAAUGCUAUAUAAAAUUUCAUGCCAAUAGCCGUAUAACAUAUAUUAAAUGUGAGUUUAAAGGCAAUAUGGAAUAUAACAA